AUGGAAAUAUCGCGGCCGCGGAGCCGGAGCACCGACAUCGUCUCGGCCACGCCACACCACACGCACUCUCGCCAGCCUCCCGUCACAUACGCGUCGAUACAGCGUCCACGAUCCGUCAGUGGGGGGGAAAGCUCCAAUUUUUUUUUGCGCCCGUGUAGCGGAUCGGCGCGAAUAUAGCUAAUUGUUUAUACCAAGUUCACACUGCAUGUAAUUUUAACGCACGCACCGGCAUCCAAUAGAACAGCGCAUUUUCUACGAACUGUUGCCAAUCACAUUUUUAUCCCUAGGAGAGAAAUUUCUUUAUUGGACUGUACGUUUUACACCGCGGUGUGAAAUCCUUCAUAAAGAUUGCUCCGAUUAGCUAUGCUCCUAUUUAACCUAAACGAGUGUUUAUUAUUGUGAAUAAAGAAGUAUACAAGCUUGGUUCUAAAUCAAGUUCGUUGACAGUGUCAUGUAUAUAAUGUGUUCUAGUCUUAUUAAGCUCGUAGCAGACAUGCGUGAUAAUAAUAAUAUUGUAUAUUAUAAUCUAAAAAUAUGCAGAAAUAAUUUUAUCGGCGUUCUGUAACCGGAGAAAUAACAAGCGCCACAGCACUUCAGGAAUAAAAUUGAGAAAUCAGUGUACAAAGACAGUGACAUAAAAGAAGAUUAUAUUAAUCCUUUUAAAAUGAAUAACAAGAAGAAGGCGACAGAAGACAACAGCAAAACAUGUGGAUUUAAAAGAGGAUUAGAAGCAGAGAGAAUCCUGGGUUCCGCUGACGAUAAUGGAGAGCUUAUGUAUUUAAUGCAAUGGAAAGGAACGGAUGUGGUUGACUUGGUAUUUGCUAAAGAGGCUAAUGUAAAGUGUCCUGACAUCGUCGUUCAAUUUUACGAAGAUAGACUAGCUUGGCGUAAAUCAAAAUCUAGUAUGACAUAGAUAUAUUCACUUGAAAACACAAUAUUCUAAAUCAUGUAUUCGUAAAAAUCAGUCAUAAAGAUUGAUUGAUUUUGCUUUGUAUUGUAAUCAAAAUCUAAUAUGACACAGGUAUAUUUACUUGAAAAUGCAAUAUUCUAAAUCAUGUAUUCGUAAAAAUCAGUCAUAAAGAUUGAUUGAUUUUGCUUUGUAUUGUAAUCAAAAUCUAAUAUGACACGGGUAUAUUUACUUGCGAAAACAAAAUAUUCUAAAUAAUGUAUUUAUAAAAGAUCGAUUGAUUUUGUUUUCUUAUUGUAUUUUGAUAUUUAUUAUGCUUCCAUCGAUAUAAUUGUAAAAAGAUCGAACUGUGUAAUAUGAUCUAAAUAUACGUAUAAUAAAUGUUUUUGUUUUAAAAA